rnacentral:rRNA from 1 species
GGACUACUGGGGUAUCUAAUCCCGUUCGCUCCCCUGGCUUUCGCACCUGAGCGUCAGGAACUUCCCAGGAGACUGCCUACGCCUUUGGUGUUCCUCCGGAUAUCUACGCAUUUCACCACUACACCCGGAAUUCCGUCUCCCUCUGAAGCCCUCAAGUCUAGCAGUUUUCGAAGGCCUUCCUCGGUUAAGCCGAAGACUGUCACUCCAAACUUGCCAGACCGCCUGCGUGCCCUUUACGCCCAGUAACUCCGGACAACGCUCGCCCCCUACGUAUUACCGCGGCUGCUGGCAC